GUCCACGCCGUAAACUAUGAGAACUAGAUGUCAGGGGCUUAGACUUUCUGGUGUCGCAGCUAACGCGAUAAGUUCUCCGCCUGGGGAGUACGGCCGCAAGGUUAAAACUCAAAGGAAUUGACGGGGCCCGCACAAGCGGUGGAGCAUGUGGUUUAAUUCGAUGCAACGCGAAGAACCUUACCUACCUUUGAAUCCACGGAAUCUUCUAGAGAUAGAGGAGUGCUUUCGAGAACCGUGAGACAGGUGCUGCAUGGCUGUCGU
rnacentral:rRNA from 1 species